rnacentral:rRNA from 1 species
GACGAACGCUGGCGGCGUGCCUAAUACAUGCAAGUCGAACGCAGGGGGGACGGGUGGGUAACACGUGGGUAACCUCCCAUCAGAGGGGAUAACACUUGGCAACAGGUGCUAAACCGAUACUGAUGUAUGGACCCGGUGUGCAUGAGCUAGUGGGUGGGGUAACGGCUCACCUAGGCCACGAUGCAUAGCCGACCUGAGAGGGUGACCGGCCACACUGGGACUGAGACACGGCCCAGACUCCUACGGGAGGCAGCAGUAGGGAAUCUUCGGCAAUGGACGAAAGUCUGACCGAGCAACGCCGCGUGAGUGAAGAAGGUUUUCGGAUUGUAAAGCUCUGUUGUUGAGGAAGCGGUAUCUAACCAGAAAGCAACGGCUAACUACGUGCCAGCAGCCGCGGUAAUAC